rnacentral:lncRNA from 1 species
AUCAAACCCUAGAUUUAAUAACUUAGUUCAUGAUUGAAAAGAAGAACAUGAUAAAACACAAAUUAAAUUUCAUGAAGAAGAGAAAGAUAAGAAAAAACUCAGGUUGUUGCUCUAUUUCUCCAUCUUGUGGCUUGAUUCUCAGUUUUUCUUCUUCUUCUUCUCCAAAAUCGAUUCGAUCUUCUCUCAAUUAGUGUAUCCCCUUGCCUCCUUUCUUCAGCCGUCCAACCCCUUUUCCUGUUCUUUUGCUGAGUAUUUAUAUUUUCUAAGGGUCCUCAAGGGUUAGGGUGUGAUUUUUGGGCCGAAAAAAUACUUAAAAACCCGGAUUUUACUGUUUUGGAAACGGGCGCCAUGGCGCCCGGGUCUGGCGCCGUGGCGCCCAGGUCUCUGCUCCUUUUUUUUCCUUCAUGGGCGCCAUGGCGCCCAGGUCUGGCGCCGUGGCGCCCGUUGUUCUGCUUCUUUUGUUUUUUUUUUUCUUCCUUGGGCGCCAAGUUUGGCGCCCAGGCUUCUGUUUGCUUUUUCUUCUCUUUGUUUUUCCAAGCCUAUUUCCCACUCCAAUCUUAUUCAAUACUUGCUUAUUCAUGCUCCAUUUCAUUGAUCAUCAUUUUUCCUCAUCACCGGCUCCCAAUAGUGAUAUUUUCUUGAGAAUUGUCCAAACUGCAAAACAACACUAACACACACAUCAAAACGUUCAAAAAUGCUCAAGAACACAUCAAAAAACUCGAUUUAGAAGCUUUAGUUUAAUGAGUGGAUUACACUCAUCACUGGGCUUUGUAAGAAUUGGGAAGGUGGGUUAGGGUUUAUUGUUGGUGUUAUAUGGUGCCAAUUUGUGAUGAAAAUGGCAAGGAUGAACAACACAAGUGAAUUGAAAUUGCAGUAGAUCUUUAAUGAUUUUUUUUUGCAGAAACUGACCAAAAUACUAAAAACCGAUUUUUUUCCGGGUGUGAAUAGUAACUCUCCUUUUUUUCAUCCUUUUUUCUCACAAAGAAAAUUGAAAGAAUGAAAAGUGCUACUCUUACGCUAAAUAUUUUCACUUGUGCUAUUCCAACAAAUUUUGGGAAGAAAAUAGAAAGAAAUUUUGGAUUAUGAGAAAAAAUUUACCCAAGGUUCGGCUCUGAUACCAAAUUUGAUGCAGCACCAACUUGAAAAAUUAAUGUAGAAAUAAAACAGAUCUAUAAGAGAGUGGGAAUUAAUGGGGAGAAUGGGGGAAGAAGAAGAUUCAACAGAAAAAGAGGAAGAAAGUAGGAUGAAAUUUGGAGUAUAGGAGAGAAAUUAUCCAAGUUUCGAGUCUGAUACUAAAUUUGAUGCAAGAUAAAAUAAUAAAACAGCAAGAAAGGGGGAAAACCAGAGAGAAAGAGGGGGAAGAAUCCAGAGACGAAGCAGAAAUUCAGAGGGAAAGGGGAAGGGAAAGAAAGGAGACGCCACAAUCAAUCUCAAUUCAUCAUAAUUAUCAAACUGUCCCAACUAAACAACAAAUCAAAUAUAAAUAGUAAAACAAAAUCCUAAAGGUAAAGGGCUUGGGCCAUACCCAUUAUACAAGCCCAAUAAUAGAACAUAAAUAAUAGUCCAAAUGGAAACAUAAAAUAAUAAAUGGAAGUCCGCAUCACAAAAAGAUUUGUCAUAAUUGGUUGGGAAAGAAAAGUUCCCAAAGUCCAUAGUUGUAUAAUUUAAAAUGACCGGGUACAUGUGUUUAAACAAGAAAACUGAAUUCAUCAAGUUUCUUUCAGAGUAUAUGAAAUGUUAAACCUUGUAUAUACACUCUACUCAAGGCAUCUUUUGGCAUGCAUGCUAUAAAACUUCCAAAGUGCCCUUGCAACAAUCUACGCAAGGCGUCUUCAUUCAUGCAAUGCAACUAGUGUGGAUGCAUGAUAAAUUCUUACCAAAUCUAUUUUCAUUAAAAAAAAAAAAAAAUCUUGAAUUAUGUCCAAUAGCUACAAAUCCGGCCAAUAAAAAAUGUAAUGCUAGGGAAAUUGACUACAAACUACACAUGAAAAAAGAAAGAAUCUCAAGUUAGCAUAGCAAAAAGAGAAAUGCAAAUAACACAGAUACAGCAAGCCAUAUAGGAAACACAAAUUGCACCAUCUCAAUGUCCCCAAGUUCUACAUAUAAAAGCUCAGAAAUCAGGCAAAUACCUGUCACAGAAAUCAUUGCAACCAAGAUGUCAAACAAAGGAUGUCAAACAAAAUGGCCCCAGACGUCACUGCAGAUAUUGCCUCGAGUAAAUCACUCUCUUUUGGUGGCCUUGUAUAUAUAAAAGACCAACACCCAACAAAUCGACUGCGGAAAUCACUUCCAAAACCCCUUCCCAAACCGGCAGCCAAAAUGCAGAAAAAAGAACUGAGACUGAAUUUUGAUGCACUGAGUUGAGCUCAACAAUUGGAUAUUAAUCAACUAACUUUCAGCUGUAAAUCAUUUUCUGAUGGUCAGGUCCUGCCACAGGUGAAAGUCCAGGUAAAUCAAUCUCAAGUUUCGAAGCACAUAGAUUUAGAAGCUAUGUUGUCACCAAUUCAAAGCCAAAGGAGAAGAUCAGGUGUAAACCAGUCAAAGUUCAGAAUUCCAGUAGGAAACAAAUUACGGAAGUAAAAAAGGAAAACAACAAGACAAUCAUUUAGCCAAAGGCUUUUCCAGUCAUAUAUACCAACCCAUGCAGAGACUGAUGCCGUUCAACCAAGAUUAUCCAUGAAGAACAUGCAUUGCAAAGAGGAAAUAUACAAUGAUUCCAUGCUUAUUUCAAUUCUUUGCAUUGAUUCAGCGCUUACAUAUCACCCUUUCACCUUUUUGUUUCUAAUAAGCAUAGUCUACAGAGAAGUUCACCUGCAGUUGAUUUCAGCUUGAGUUUCCUCAUAGGAAGUUGAUUAUUCGACUAACUGAACAUUCUGGAUUCACAAUUGCAAAUCAACAAGAGCUUAGUCAAAAUUCCCUCUUUUUCUGCAAAGUAAACUACCACAGAACUUAUAAACCAGCUUAUAUGUCUAAAUAUAUACUUCUUUUGGGUACCUCCAGACAUUGGGAUAAUGGACAAAAAAGGUAGACAUAUCUUUGUUGUAAAUACUUCUUUACACUUGAUAUUCGUUAUGAUUAAUUGCUAAUCCCAUAUGACCAAAGAGCAAAAAUAAAACGAAACAGAGAAAACCUAAAGCAAGCAAAAACACAUACUUAUAGUGAUUCAUUCUCAAUUGAGAGCUACAUCCACUAAAUGACAGUCAUCCAAAAGUAUUUAAUCACGUUAAGAUAAAUGCUUAAUAACAAGGAUACUUCCUGAUAGAUUAAAAAGGAAAUCUAUUUAUUGUAGUAAAUAGAUACAAUACGACUCUUGAGAGGUAUUCUCAUUCAAUUACGGUGUUUCUCCACAUACCAAAAACCAAGUUUAUAUGGGGAUGAAGAGCAAAUUCAAAACUGAUUAUUUCAACAUGAAUCUUAUCAGGAGCUUGUUUGCAGUUUCCAUAAUAAUCUUGUCACAAAUAUUUUCCAUUAGAAAAUUUAGAUGGUUUCCUUCAUUUUGUCGUUGUGAAAGUGUUACCGGUCUAACCAUUAUUUAAGGUGUAUACCCUGGUUAAUGCUUACUAGGAAGCCUCAACCUAACAUUUUCCAUCCACUUCAUUUGGUCUUUACUUUCAUUAUAAGAGUUAUAACUCAUUCACUUUGAAUUGCUCUCUAUUUUCUUUUUCACCCCAAGGAAUAAGCAGCUGCAUCAAGCUCUGUUGGAAAAUCAACUAAAAAAGGACAAAAAAAGAUAUGAUAUCAUUUUUGAAAAGAAAAGAGAUAAAGCUUGUACAAUAUGAUAAUUCCUUUCAAAUGGAGCAAGAAGAUGUCAUAAAUUGGUUGGGAAAGAAAAGUUCCCAAAUUCCAUGUUAUAUCAUUUAAAAUGACUGGGUAAAUGAGUUUAAACGAGAACACCUAAUUCGAGAACACCUAAUUCAUCAAGUUUCUUUCAGAGUAUAAAAACAUUGAACAUUUACAUAUCAGCUACUCGAGGCAUUUUUUG